rnacentral:rRNA from 1 species
UACGUAGGCAGCAAGCGUUGUUCGGAGUUACUGGGCGUAAAGGGUGCGUAGGCGGCUUCUUAAGUCUGGUGUGAAAUCUCCCGCUCAACUGGGAGGGUGCGCCGGAUACUGAGGGGCUAGAGUGUGGGAGAGGAAAGUGGAAUUCCUGGUGUAGCGGUGAAAUGCGUAGAUAUCAGGAGGAACACCGGUGGUGUAAACGGCUUUCUGGACCAUAACUGACGCUGAGGCACGAAAGCGUGGGUAGCAAACAGG